AUCCAAUUGACGAGUCCUAAAUAGGACGAAAUGCGCGUCCUGAAU
rnacentral:hammerhead_ribozyme from 1 species